rnacentral:rRNA from 1 species
GACAGUGAUGCAGAGCAAAUCCCCAAAAGCAGUCUUAGUUCGGAUUGUAGGCUGCAACUCGCCUACAUGAAGUCGGAAUUGCUAGUAAUCGCGGAUCAGCAUGCCGCGGUGAAUACGUUCCCGGGCCUUGUACACACCGCCCGUCACACCAUGGGAGUCGGUAACACCCGAAGCCUGUAGUCUAACCGCAAGGAGGACGCAGUCGAAGGUGGGUUCGAUAAUUGGGGUGAAGUCGUAACAAGGUAUC